UCAGGCUCUUUGGGCUCCAUGGACAGCUGCAGAUCCACAGGGUAACACUGCUGUGCUAAUGGAUAGAAAAUUGCCUGGAAGGCUGCUGGAAAAGUUGUAGUGGCGACUGGUCCUGAACCACUGAGCGUGGAGUUUCUGAACUGUCCUGCCAGGGGGAUGGGUGAUGUGAAGAGUUCCACUCGUGACUCCCGGAGCAUCCGCAGGUCUCCCGGAGAUGUUCCAGGAACCUCCUUUAGCCGCUG